GCGUUUUGCAAAGUCAGAGAGCUUUAAAUGGCUCAAGAUGUGCACAGCUGUGUCCUUGGAUACCCAGUUAAUGGAGCUGGGCAAGAUCUAUCUGGAGGCGGGUUUGCUUAAGAGUCCCAGGAUGAGAGAAUCUGCCUGCCUUUCCUCUGGCACCUGCCCUGCCCUCAGAGGGGGCAUCAUUUGUUGGACACUUCUGCCAGCACCACACAGAGUGGGAAAGAUCAGGCCAAAGAAAACAGCAGAUGCCCUCUGCCUCCCUCAUCACCACCUGAACUCUGAUACAAGCACUGCUAGAGGUGAGAAAAAGUGAAAGAAGUUUGUCAACAUUUUUUGUAUAUGAUCUGGACAUCUA
rnacentral:lncRNA from 1 species